GCAUCCUUUGCAUCUUGCGUAAUCUUCCAUAACAACGAGCAGCCACAAGCAAACAAAUUUUUAUUCUUUUUGAAAGUCACAAGCAAACAAUUUUUAUUUUGAAGCUAAGAUUGGUAAGGAGGCAUUGACUUGCCAAAAUAUUGGUCAUCAUCCAAGCAAAAAAAAUUGGCAAGGUACACUUCAAACACCAUCCAAACACACCCAAACAACUCCAACUUACCGUGGGUGACAUUCUGCCAUGUCACAUUCCAACUGAUAUGAGGUGUUUGAUACAUGACUUCGUGUUGCUAGCAGAGAUAAAGCAGAUAGGAAAUAAAUAGCUCAAAGGGGGUUGAGUUUAACAAAUACAAUAGGAAACGGUGUGGCUUACAGGAUGGAUUCUCUGUGUAUCGGAUGAAAAAAAACAUGGCUAGCAAGACCCAUCGGCCACGUUACAUCAAAAGAUUCACCGUCACUGAAUCUAUUCCAGUGGCAACAGCUAUCGACCGAAAGCACCAUCCUCGCACAAAAACACCAACCGGAACCGGAUCGACACUGCAACCAGACGCAUGAAGUGCCAGAUAACAGCACUAAGAAAUAAGGAAGAUUUCAUAUGAAACGUAUAGGCUAUUUUUUGUCGUAAAUGCCAAUGGAUGAUGUCUCUACGGUACAAAUUGGGCCGGAUAAAAAUGAAUGCUUACUACAUCACAUGUACAUAAAUAAUAAUUAAGGGUAAAAUAAAUGAGUGUAAUUGAUGUCUAAAAAAAACUUCUAAAUUAACUAAAAUAAUCCCGCCCAAGUGAAACAAAGACAUACAGAUGUCUCGUUAUAAGAGACUAGCCGCGCAGUUUGCGCGGGCCAACCCGCUAGUUCUUUUUAAAUUAGGGACUCUUUGGAAAGAUGGAAUUGAAUACCGUGUAUUUUUUUCAAGAGAUAAUUUUUUAUUUAUUGCAAAGUCUACACGGGCUACUUACAUUCAAAGAGGUUCUUUAGGUUCACGGAAUUUUGUUCAAUUUCAACCAAAAAAAAGGAAAAAAAAAGGCCAGCAAAUCAAAGAGGUUCUUUCAGAUUUGCAAAGAGGCACAGCAGAUGCUGCACGGGACAAAGCAAAAGUGCGUUUCACACGUGUGGGAGCAGCAGACGAUCAGCUUCAGCUAGCUGUGAACAAACAGUAGGCACACACGCUCCACCCUUUUCUCUGUUCUUUCCACACCCCCCACACGCACACAUAC
rnacentral:lncRNA from 1 species